AGAGUUUGAUCCUGGCUCAGAACGAACGCUGGCGGCAGGCUUAACACAUGCAAGUCGAACGCGUGUAGCAAUACACGAGUGGCGCACGGGUGAGUAACGCGUGGAUAUCUGCCUUUUGGUUCGGAAUAACUCCGGGAAACUGGAGCUAAUACCGGAUGGUUCCUACGGGAUAAAGAUUUAUCGCCAAAAGAUGAGUCCGCGUACGAUUAGCUAGUUGGUGAGGUAAUGGCUCACCAAGGCGACGAUCGUUAGCUGGUCUGAGAGGACGAUCAGCCACACUGGGACUGAGACACGGCCCAGACUCCUACGGGAGGCAGCAGUGGGGAAUAUUGGACAAUGGGGGCAACCCUGAUCCAGCCAUGCCGCGUGAGUGAUGAAGGCCUUCGGGUUGUAAAGCUCUUUUGGCGGGGACGAUGAUGACGGUACCCGCAGAAUAAGCCCCGGCUAACUUCGUGCCAGCAGCCGCGGUAAGACGAAGGGGGCUAGCGUUGUUCGGAAUUACUGGGCGUAAAGCGAGUGUAGGUGGUUGUCAUAGUCAGGUGUGAAAGCCUUGAGCUCAACUCAAGAAAUGCACUUGAUACUGGGCGACUAGAGGACCGGAGAGGAUAGUGGAAUUCCCAGUGUAGUGGUGAAAUACGUAGAGAUUGGGAAGAACACCAGUGGCGAAGGCGGCUAUCUGGACGGUUUCUGACACUAAGACUCGAAAGCGGGGGGAGCAAACAGGAUUAGAUACCCUGGUAGUCCACGCCGUAAACGAUGGGUGCUAGACGUUGGCGAGCUUGCUCGUCAGUGUCGCAGCUAACGCGUUAAGCACCCCGCCUGGGGAGUACGGCCGCAAGGUUGAAACUCAAGGAAUUGACGGGGGCCCGCACAAGCGGUGGAGCAUGUGGUUCAAUUCGACGCAACGCGCAGAACCUUACCAGCCCUUGACAUGUGACUCGCCGGCUCCAGAGACGGAGCCUUC
rnacentral:rRNA from 1 species